AUGGUCAAAUCCUUGCUCCGCCCCUCCAUGGAGGAAGAGGAAGAAAAGGAGGAGAAUGUGAUGGAGGGGAUGCGGAAGCGGAAGCGGGAGGAGAAGGGGAUGGAUGGGAUGGAGGAGGGGGAAAAGAAAGAGCAGAAGGGCAAGGGAGGUGGGAUUCUCACAAACGAGCUUUUCUCGGAGCUCUUCGUAUCCGAGCUCACUGCCAAGGCCAUCAGAGAGAUGAACUACACCCACCUCACCCAGAUUCAAGCUAGAUCCAUACCUCAUUUGAUGGUAGGAGAUGAUGUGCUGGGUUCAGCCAGGACUGGCUCAGGGAAGACACUCGCUUUCCUUAUACCCGCGAUCAAACUGCUACACAAUGCGCGCUUCACGCCGAGGAACGGAACUGUAGUUAUUGUGGUCUGCCCAACAAGGGAGCUUGCUAUCCAGACACACGAUGUUGCCAAGAAAUUAAUGAAGUAUCACUCUCAAACUCUUGGAUAUGUAAUUGGUGGCACUAACAUGAGAAGUGAGGCAAACCAGCUUGUGAAAGGGGUCAAUCUAUUAGUUGCAACGCCAGGCAGGCUUCUGGACCAUCUGAAAAGUACCGGUGGUUUCAACUACAAAGGGCUAAAGUGCCUUAUAAUUGAUGAAGCUGAUCGCAUACUUGAGCAAAAUUUUGAGGAGGACAUGAAACAAAUAUUUAAGCGCCUCCCUCAGAAUAAGCAAACUGUUCUCUUUUCUGCCACACAGACUCAAAGGGUUGAAGAUUUUGCAAAUUUUACGUUUGGGAAAAAGGAAGAAAGACAACGAAAGCUUGUUUAUGUUGGAGUAGAUGACUCUGAAUUAAAGCCUACCGUUGACGGCUUGCAGCAGGGCUACUGUGUCAUUCCUAGCGAGAAAAGGUUUCUGGUUCUGUAUACUUUCCUAAGAAAGAUGCAGGUUAUGAAGCAGAAGGUGAAGGUCAUGGUGUUCUUUUCAUCGUGUAGCUCAGUCAAAUUCCAUGCAGAAUUUCUAAAUUUCAUUGGGAUAGAGUGUCACGAGAUCCACGGGCAACUGAAGCAGCAGAAACGCACUACUACAUUCUUCCAAUUUUCGAAAGAGGAAAGCGGUAUCUUAUUGUGCACAAACGUGGCAGCACGUGGGCUUGAUAUUCCUAAUGUGGACUAUAUUGUGCAAUAUGAUCCUCCAGAUGACCCAAAGGACUACAUUCACAGAGUCGGUCGUACUGCCCGAGGUGAUAAAGGCCAAGGACGCGCAUUUUUGUUCUUACUACCAGAAGAACUGAAGUUGCUUAUUUACCUGCACGCGUCCAAUAUUUCUCUGACUGAAUACGAGUUCAGUGAAAAGCAUGUUCCAAAAUCGCAAUCCAAACUUGAGAAAAUUGUUGCUGGGAAUUACUUCCUAAACCAGUCAGCGAAGGAAGCUUACAGGUCCUACCUUUUGGCAUACAACUCACACUCUAUGAAGGACAUCUUUGAUGUCCAUCAACUUGAUCUCAAGAAAGUUGCGGCAUCUUUCUGUUUUAAUAGCCCUCCUAAAGUGAAUCUGAACCUGGAGAGUAGUGCAUCGAGACACCGAAAGAUGAGGAAAGUGGACGGCAGAAAGAGGCAUGAACUUAGCCCUUCAAACCCCUAUGGAAGGAGAGGCGGUUGUGAUCACAUGGAUCUUGCAAGAUUCUAG
rnacentral:rRNA from 1 species